ensembl:lncRNA
CCUGGGGGUCUUGCCAGGAUGGGGGCUGGGCUGGACAGGCAGGUGGACAGUCUUUCUCUCCACAGGGUGUCCCCAAGAGUCACCGGAGCAAGGACCCGCUGCCUGUGCUUCAGGUUGAAGAAGUCAAGCAGGCUUUUGAGCAGGUGGGCAUGGGCCUGGUGGGGCCCCUGGUGGAGACCGCCAAUGGCUACCGCUUCAUCCUUCUGUCUGUGGAUGCUUACUCACGGUGGGUGGAGGCCUCACCAUUGAAGGAACAAAAUCCCGUGGAAGUGGCCCAGGCCCUGAUUCCCUUCCUUCUCCGAUUUGGCCGCCCCCAACUCCUGGUCACCACUCUUAGGGUUCCAUUUGUGAGCCAGGUGAAUCGGAGUCUCCGGCGCCAGCUCCAAGGCUUGGGGGUGCCCCUUGGCAAACUAGACAUCAUCAUGUCGGCGUUCCAGCCAAAGAUUAAUAGCAUCUUUUCCUUGACCUCCAGCUCUAUAAGGAGGACCCUGUGGAGCCUGGUGAAGGGGGAUCUCGAGAAGUGGGAUCUCGUCUUGGACAAGGCCCUCUUCUCCCUGAGGACGGCAGUGACGAAGAACAAGAGAAGAAGCCCCUUCCAGCUCCUUUAUGGCCGCAAGCCCAGGGCCCCCCAGGACGUCCCCUCCCAUUUUGACGUGGUUGCAGCAGACACUGUAGGUGACAGUGUGGGUGACACCCAUGAUAAUAAGGAGCCCACGGAGACAGCUGGAACCAUGAAAGACACCGUGACGGAUGCUGUGUCAAAACCCGUAGGGCAGCCUGAGGAAGAAACCACGUGGGAGCCCACACAGCCAACCAGGCAAGAGCCCAUCCCAGAGCCCAGGCAGCAAGCCGUGCUGGAGCCCACACAACAGCCCAUGCCGCCGGAGCCCAGGCAAACAUCCAGGCCAGAAACCAUGGGGCAACUCAUGCAUCAGCCCAUGUUGGAGCCCAUCAAUCAUAUGUGGCAGCCUGUGCUGGGGUCCAUUCACCAACCCAUGCUCCAGCCUAUUCAGCAGCCCCUGACUCAGUCCACACACCAGCCCAUCUACCGGCCCAUUCCACAGCCCAUCCACCAGUCUAUUCAGCAGCCCAUGACCCAGCCCAUCCAGCAGUCUAUGCAGCAGCCCAUGACCCAGCCCAUCCAGCAGUCUAUGCAGCAGCCCAUGACCCAGUCUACAUAUCAGCCCAUGACUCAGUCUACGUAUCAGCCCAUGACCCAGUCUACAUAUCAGCCCAUGAUCCAGUCUACGUAUCAGCCAAUGCACCAGCCUUUGCUUCAGCCCAUGACUAUGCAGCAGCCGAUGCACCAGUCUAUGCAGCAGCCCAUGACCCAGUCUAUGCAGCAGCCGAUGCACCAGUCUAUCCAGCAGCCCAUGACCCAGACUAUCCAGCAACCCAUCAUGGCAGAACCUGUGCAUCUCCCCAUGCCGAGGCUGACAGAAUGCCCUGUUGUGAGCAGCUGGGGCCAAGGGACAACCCCCAGCCUGGACGCCCCCUGGGAAAAGUGGGAGCCUGGUGGAGGAGCCUUUUGGACCCAGUGGAGGGAGCCUGGGAACUAGUGGGAGAAGCGAAACAACACACUUCCAUCCUAUAUCUUUUUUUUUUUCUUUUGGCGAGGCAGUUGGGGUUAAGUGACUUGCCCAGGGUCACACAGCUAGUAAGUGUCAAGUCUCUGGUCUGCGACCGGAUUUGAACUCAGGUCCUCCUGACUCCAGGGCGGGUGCUCUAUCCACUGCACCACCUCGCUGCCCCUUUCUCAUAUAUAUGAUUUUACACUUCUAUCCUUAAAUCCAAUUAGCUGUCCAAUCCAUGGGGGUGGGGGUGGGUACAGAAAUUGGUCUUGGGAAUGGACCAUAAUCCUCCCGUCCACAGUGACUCUGGCUCUGGGGAUGAGAAUGGGGCUGUGAAGUAGGACCUCCAGACUCUUGGAUAUUCUGUUACCCCUGUGGCCCCAUCCUUCAAUUCAUUUGUGAUGUUCCUACUGUGUGCCCACCAUUGGGAACACAAUGACAAAAACAAGAAAGCCUCUGUCCUCAAUGAACUUAUAUUGUACUGGGGACAUUGGAGUUAAUACAUUGUUCCAUCAAUUGAUAAAGAUUUAUUAAUCAUCUUUUAUGUUCUAGACACUGUGCUGUCAUUGGAGAUAACAGAGGCCAGAAGUGAGGCAAGCCCUGUUCUCAAAUUACUGGGGAAACGUGUACAGAUAGACUGGUGUCCCAAAAGUCUUAGUGCAGUUUUAACCUAUUAAAACUUUAAAAUGUCACCGAGACUUUUGGCAUACCUUAUAUGGCAGGUAAUUAAGACAGGGUGGUUGGGUGUGUGCGUAUGGGGGGGGGAAAUGAGGCAGAAAGCACAAGUCAGGGUGAUUAACAGAGACAUCUGGGAGAACAUGGCAUGCGAAAUAGAGGUGAGGAGUUAAGAGUUUUCUAGGCAGGGAAGACAGCCUGGGCAAAGACUAGGAGCUGGAGUUGGG